rnacentral:lncRNA from 11 species
CGACAAACCAGGAGGAAUCCCUCUUGGAUCAAAUGCCUCUCCUUCCCAGAUGUCCAUCAAUGCCACAGUAAGGCAAACACAGGUGUCUCAUCUCUCUCAGCCGCAGACACACUUCUCGAGUCAAGAGGACUUCCUGUUCUAGAAUUCCUGCCGGGAUACAGGUGGUCCCUGUUCGCCAGCUCUGUCUACUGUACAUUUUUUAAAAAUGCAUUUCUGACUACACUUAAACAUUUCUGAAAUCUCCAGUUUAUGUCUAGACUAUUUUAAUCAGCUAAAUGUCAUAAUAAGCCAUGUGCGGCGCUUGAUGGCUUACAUA